CCUGGUAGCUCAGUUGGCAAAGAAUCUGCCUGCCAUGCAGGAGACCCUGGUUCGAUUCCUGGGUCAGGA
rnacentral:tRNA from 1 species